ACUGCUUUAGUAUAUCUAUUAUGCUAACUUUUCGUGUUAGAGAUGGUGUGCCCACACCAGGCAGCG
rnacentral:tRNA from 1 species